UACGUAGGGUGCGAGCGUUAAUCGGAAUUACUGGGCGUAAAGCGUGCGCAGGUGGCCGCGCAAGUCGAGUGUGAAAUCCCCGAGCUUAACUUGGGAAUUGCGCUCGAAACUGCGUGGCUCGAGUGUGGCAGAGGAAGGUGGAAUUCCACGUGUAGCGGUGAAAUGCGUAGAGAUGUGGAGGAACACCGAUGGCGAAGGCAGCCUUCUGGGCCAACACUGACGCUCAUGCACGAAAGCGUGGGGAGCAAACAGG
rnacentral:rRNA from 1 species